rnacentral:rRNA from 1 species
GGCGGCAUGCCUUACACAUGCAAGUCGAGCGGCAGCGCGGGGGCAACCCUGGCGGCGAGCGGCGAACGGGUGAGUAAUACAUCGGAACGUGUCCUGUCGUGGGGGAUAACCAGUCGAAAGACUGGCUAAUACCGCAUGAGAUCGAGAGAUGAAAGCAGGGGACCGCAAGGCCUUGCGCGAUUGGAGCGGCCGAUGUCGGAUUAGCUUGUUGGCGGGGUAAAAGCCCACCAAGGCGACGAUCCGUAGCUGGUUUGAGAGAACGACCAGCCACACUGGGACUGAGACACGGCCCAGACUCCUACGGGAGGCAGCAGUGGGGAAUUUUGGACAAUGGGGGCAACCCUGAUCCAGCCAUGCCGCGUGUGUGAAGAAGGCCUUCGGGUUGUAAAGCACUUUCGGACGGAACGAAAUCGCACGGGUGAAUAUCCCGUGUGGAUGACGGUACUGUAAGAAGAAGCACCGGCUAACUACGUGCCAGCAGCCGCGGUAAUACGUAGGGUGCGAGCGUUAAUCGGAAUUACUGGGCGUAAAGCGUGCGCAGGCGGCUUCGCAAGUCAGACGUGAAAUCCCCGGGCUUAACCUGGGAAUGGCGUUUGAAACUACGGAGCUGGA